rnacentral:rRNA from 1 species
GGGCAUGGCGCAGCUACACAUGCAAGUCGAGCGGUAGCACAGAGAGCUUGCUCUCGGGUGACGAGCGGCGGACGGGUGAGUAAUGUCUGGGAAACUGCCUGAUGGAGGGGGAUAACUACUGGAAACGGUAGCUAAUACCGCAUAAUGUCGCAAGACCAAAGUGGGGGACCUUCGGGCCUCAUGCCAUCAGAUGUGCCCAGAUGGGAUUAGCUAGUAGGUGGGGUAACGGCUCACCUAGGCGACGAUCCCUAGCUGGUCUGAGAGGAUGACCAGCCACACUGGAACUGAGACACGGUCCAGACUCCUACGGGAGGCAGCAGUGGGGAAUAUUGCACAAUGGGCGCAAGCCUGAUGCAGCCAUGCCGCGUGUGUGAAGAAGGCCUUCGGGUUGUAAAGCACUUUCAGCGGGGAGGAAGGCGGUAAGGUUAAUAACCUUGGCGAUUGACGUUACCCGCAGAAGAAGCACCGGCUAACUCCGUGCCAGCAGCCGCGGUAAUACGGAGGGUGCAAGCGUUAAUCGGAAUUACUGGGCGUAAAGCGCACGCAGGCGGUCUGUCAAGUCGGAUGUGAAAUCCCCGGGCUCAACCUGGGAACUGCAUUCGAAACUGGCAGGCUAGAGUCUUGUAGAGGGGGGUAGAAUUCCAGGUGUAGCGGUGAAAUGCGUAGAGAUCUGGAGGAAUACCGGUGGCGAAGGCGGCCCCCUGGACAAAGACUGACGCUCAGGUGCGAAAGCGUGGGGAGCAAACAGGAUUAGAUACCCUGGUAGUCCACGCCGUAAACGAUGUCGAUUUGGAGGUUGUGCCCUUGAGGCGUGGCUUCCGGAGCUAACGCGUUAAAUCGACCGCCUGGGGAGUACGGCCGCAAGGUUAAAACUCAAAUGAAUUGACGGGGGCCCGCACAAGCGGUGGAGCAUGUGGUUUAAUUCGAUGCAACGCGAAGAACCUUACCUGGUCUUGACAUCCACAGAACUUUCCAGAGAUGGAUUGGUGCCUUCGGGAACUGUGAGACAGGUGCUGCAUGGCUGUCGUCAGCUCGUGUUGUGAAAUGUUGGGUUAAGUCCCGCAACGAGCGCAACCCUUAUCCUUUGUUGCCAGCGGUCCGGCCGGGAACUCAAAGGAGACUGCCAGUGAUAAACUGGAGGAAGGUGGGGAUGACGUCAAGUCAUCAUGGCCCUUACGACCAGGGCUACACACGUGCUACAAUGGCAUAUACAAAGAGAAGCGACCUCGCGAGAGCAAGCGGACCUCAUAAAGUAUGUCGUAGUCCGGAUUGGAGUCUGCAACUCGACUCCAUGAAGUCGGAAUCGCUAGUAAUCGUAGAUCAGAAUGCUACGGUGAAUACGUUCCCGGGCCUUGUACACACCGCCCGUCACACCAUGGGAGUGGGUUGCAAAAGAAGUAGGUAGCUUAACCUUCGGGAGGGCGCUUACCACUUGGAUCAGCCGGG